UACGAAGGGGGCUAGCGUUGUUCGGAAUUACUGGGCGUAAAGCGCGUGUAGGCGGGUCCUUAAGUCAGGGGUGAAAUGCCAAGGCUCAACCUUGGAACUGCCUUUGAUACUGGGGAUCUUGAGUCCGGGAGAGGUGAGUGGAACUGCGAGUGUAGAGGUGAAAAUUCGUAGAUAUUCGCAAGAACACCAGUGGCGAAGGCGGCUCACUGGCCCGGAACUGACGCUGAGACGCGAAAAGCGGUGGGGAGCAAACAGGG
rnacentral:rRNA from 1 species